AUGGCUACAAUUAGCCAAAAGGGGCACAUUUACAAAAAUUUUCCUGUGAUGUUCCAUCGAGAAAAGAGUGAAAAUCAGCUUCACACCUGGAGACUUCCUGUAUCGGGCACAGUCCAGAGAAAGAAGAUCACCAGAGUAUUAAGAUUCAUCUAUAAGAACAUAGCAUCACCCAACAACCACACCCCUCCUCGGGACCACACCCCACCAACAGCACAGCUCCUCACCGUGGACACGACCCACAGGAUCCUCUUCUUGGUGGCAGCAGCCACCGGUGCCCACUCCCAGGUGCAGCUGGUGCAGUUUGGGCCUGAGGUGAAGCAGCCUGUGGCCUCAGUGAAGGUCUUCUGCAAGGCUUCUGGUUACAACUUUACCACCUAUGGUAUGAAUUGGGCGAGACAGGUCCCUGGAGAAGGGCUUGAGUGAAUGGGUGGAUGAACAUCAACACUGGGAACCCAAUGUAUGCCCAGGGCUAAACAGGAUGAUUUGUCUUCUCCAUAGACACCUCUGUCAGCACGGCGUAUCUGCAGAUCAGCAGCCUAAAGGCUGAGGACACGGCCGUGCAUUACUGUAUGAGAGACACAGUGUGGAAACCCACAUCCUGA